GGAGGGUGCAAGCGUUAAUCGGAAUUACUGGGCGUAAAGCGCACGCAGGCGGUCUGUCAAGUCGGAUGUGAAAUCCCCGGGCUUAACCUGGGAACUGCAUUCGAAACUGGCAGGCUNGAGUCUUGUAGAGGGGGGUAGAAUUCCAGGUGUAGCGGUGAAAUGCGUAGAGAUCUGGAGGAAUACCGGUGGCGAAGGCGGCCCCCUGGACAAAGACUGACGCUCAGGUGCGAAAGCGUGGGGAGCAAACAGGAUUAGAUACCCUGGUAGUCCACGCCGUAAACGAUGUCGACUUGGAGGUUGUUCCCUUGAGGAGUGGCUUCCGGAGCUAACGCGUUAAGUCGACCGCCUGGGGAGUACGGCCGCAAGGUUAAAACUCAAAUGAAUUGACGGGGGCCCGCACAAGCGGUGGAGCAUGUGGUUUAAUUCGAUGCAACGCGAAGAACCUUACCUACUCUUGACAUCCAGAGAACUUAGCAGAGAUGCUUUGGUGCCUUCGGGAACUCUGAGACAGGUGC
rnacentral:rRNA from 1 species